rnacentral:rRNA from 1 species
GGACAACCUACCCUUUAGGACCGGGAUAACCCCGGGAAACUGGGGACAAUCCCGGAUAGGUGAAGUGGCCUGGAAUGGUACUUCACUGAAAGGCUCUUCGGAGCGCCUAAGGAUGGGUCUGCGGCCGAUUAGGUAGUUGGUAGGGUAACGGCCUACCAAGCCGAUAAUCGGUACGGGUUGUGAGAGCAAGAGCCCGGAGAUGGAACCUGAGACAAGGUUCCAGGCCCUACGGGGCGCAGCAGGCGUGAAACCUCCGCAAUGCACGCAAGUGCGACGGGGGGACCCCAAGUGCCACUCUUAACGGGGUGGCUUUUCAGGAGUGUAAAAAGCUCCUGGAAUAAGGGCUGGGCAAGACCGGUGCCAGCCGCCGCGGUAACACCGGCAGCUCGAGUGGUAGCCGCGUUUAUUGGGCCUAAAGCGUCCGUAGCCGGUCCGAUAAGUCUCUGGUGAAAGCCCACAGCUCAACUGUGGGAAUCGCUGGAGAUACUAUCGGACUUGAGGCCGGGAGAGGCUGGAGGUACUCCCAGGGUAGGGGUGAAAUCCUAUAAUCCUGGAAGGACCACCUGUGGCGAAGGCGUCCAGCUGGAACGGACCUGACGGUGAGGGACGAAAGCCAGGGGCGCGAACCGGAUUAGAUACCCGGGUAGUCCUGGCCGUAAACGAUGCGGACUUGGUGUUGGGAUGGCUUUGAGCUGUCCCAGUGCCGAAGGGAAGCUGUU